rnacentral:rRNA from 1 species
AACGAACGCUGGCGGCAUGCCUAACACAUGCAAGUCGAACGAAGCCUUCGGGCUUAGUGGCGCACGGGUGCGUAACGCGUGGGAAUCUGCCCUUGGGUUCGGAAUAACAGUUAGAAAUGACUGCUAAUACCGAAUGAUGUCUUCGGACCAAAGAUUUAUCGCCCAAGGAUGAGCCCGCGUCGGAUUAGCUAGUUGGUGAGGUAAAGGCUCACCAAGGCGACGAUCCGUAGCUGGUCUGAGAGGAUGAUCAGCCACACUGGGACUGAGACACGGCCCAGACUCCUACGGGAGGCAGCAGUGGGGAAUAUUGGACAAUAGGGCGGAAAGGACCUACGAUCCACGCAAUAGCGCGCGAGUGAUGAAGGCCGUU